GUGCUCACUUCGACAGCACAUAUACUAAAAUUGGAAAGAUACAGAGAAGAUUAGCACAGCCCCUGCACAAGGAUAACACACAAAUACAUGAAGCAUUCCAUAUUUUU